rnacentral:rRNA from 1 species
GCGGCGGACGGGUGAGUAACACGUGGAUAACCUACCUACAAGACUGGGAUAACUUCGGGAAACCGGAGCUAAUACCGGAUAAUAUUUUGAACCGCAUGGUUCAGAAGUGAAAGACGGUCUUGCUGUCACUUAUAGAUGGAUCCGCGCUGCAUUAGCUAGUUGGCAAGGUAACGGCUUACCAAGGCAACGAUGCAUAGCCGACCUGAGAGGGUGAUCGGCCACACUGGAACUGAGACACGGUCCAGACUCCUACGGGAGGCAGCAGUAGGGAAUCUUCCGCAAUGGGCGAAAGCCUGACGGAGCAACGCCGCGUGAGUGAUGAAGGUCUUCGGAUCGUAAAACUCUGUUAUUAGGGAAGAACAUAUGUGUAAGUAACUGUGCACAUCUUGACGGUACCUAAUCAGAAAGCCACGGCUAACUACGUGCCAGCAGCCGCGGUAAUACGUAGGUGGCAAGCGUUAUCCGGAAUUAUUGGGCGUAAAGCGCGCGUAGGCGGUUUUUUAAGUCUGAUGUGAAAGCCCACGGCUCAACCGUGGAGGGUCAUUGGAAACUGGAAAACUUGAGUGCAGAAGAGGAAAGUGGAAUUCCAUGUGUAGCGGUGAAAUGCGCAGAGAUAUGGAGGAACACCAGUGGCGAAGGCGACUUUCUGGUCUGUAACUGACGCUGAUGUGCGAAA